AACGAACGCUGGCGGCAUGCCUAACACAUGCAAGUCGAACGAGAUCUUCGGGUCUAGUGGCGCACGGGUGCGUAACGCGUGGGAAUCUGCCCUUUGGUUCGGAAUAACAGUUGGAAACGACUGCUAAUACCGGAUGAUGACGAAAGUCCAAAGAUUUAUCGCCAGAGGAUGAGCCCGCGUAGGAUUAGCUAGUUGGUGUGGUAAAGGCGCACCAAGGCGACGAUCCUUAGCUGGUCUGAGAGGAUGAUCAGCCACACUGGGACUGAGACACGGCCCAGACUCCUACGGGAGGCAGCAGUGGGGAAUAUUGGACAAUGGGCGAAAGCUUGAUCCAGCAAUGCCGCGUGAGUGAUGAAGGCCUUAGGGUUGUAAAGCUCUUUUACCCGGGAUGAUAAUGACAGUACCGGGAGAAUAAGCUCCGGCUAACUCCGUGCCAGCAGCCGCUGUAA
rnacentral:rRNA from 1 species